UACGGAGGGUGCGAGCGUUGUCCGGAAUCACUGGGCGUAAAGGGCGCGUAGGCGGCGCGGAUAGUCGGCGGUGAAAGCCCGGAGCUCAACUCCGGGUCGGCUGUCGAUACUUCCGGGCUUGAGCACUGUAGAGGCAGAUGGAAUCCGGGUGUAGCGGUGGAAUGCGUAGAGAUCCGGAAGAACACCGGUGGGCGAAGGCGGUCUGCUGGGCAGUGCUGACGCUGAGGAGCGAAAGCGUGGGGAGCGAAGCAGG
rnacentral:rRNA from 1 species